rnacentral:ncRNA from 1 species
AUUGAUAGGAAUACCGGGAGCUGGCCAUGUUUGAAGUCAUUACCCUUAACCGUAAGGAGGGGGAUGCCUAAGGCUAGGCUUGCGACUGGAGUGAAGUCGUAACAAGGUAGCCGUACUGGAAGGUGCGGCUG